AGAAUUUCAGCUUCGUGAAGGCAGUGGUUUUUGUCCUCUUACUGUAUUCCCAGUGCCUGAAAUGUGGCUGGCAGGAAACUUUCAUCUUGGCCACGUGUGUACUGUGUGCACGCCAGCCUAAAUGUACGUCUGUGAGCAUACAUGCAGUGGAUCUUGAUGCAAAGGGGAACCUUACCAGUAACAACUACACAUCCACUAGAAUGGCCGAAAUAUUUUGGAAAAAAAAAAUUGAAUCCUGGUUUUCAUGUUUUUGAAAUAUUACAGACUGGAAACAGACUCGCACAUACAUGGCCAGUUGAUUUUUGACAAAGGCACGACAGCAAUUCAAUGGAGAGAGGAUAAUCAUUUCAACAAAUGGUGCUGGAACAACUGGACAGCCAUUUGAGAAAAUAAAAAGCAAGCAAAAGAGAGAAAAAAAAGCCUUGAUUACCUGUACCUCACAACGUAUACAAAAGUUAACUCAAAAUGGAUCAUAGACCUAAAAGCAAAACUUAAAAUACUCCCCAGAAGGAAACAUAUGAGAAAAUCAUUGUGACUUCAGGUUAGGCAAAAUUUUUCUUAGUUAUAGCUUCUUUAUCCAUGAGCUAUAAAAGAAGAAUAUGGUAAAUUAGAUUUCAUUGAAAUUAAAAACAUCUGAUUUUGAAAAGACAUUCUUAUGAAAAUGAAAAGACAAGCUACAGCCUGGGGGGAAAUAUUUAUAAAACACAUGUGAUAAAGAGCUUGUAUCCAGAGUACAAAGC